GAUGAACGCUGGCGGCGUGCCUAAUACAUGCAAGUCGAGCGAACAGACGAGGAGCUUGCUUCUCUGACGUUAGCGGCGGACGGGUGAGUAACACGUGGAUAACCUACCUAUAAGACUGGGAUAACUUCGGGAAACCGGAGCUAAUACCGGAUAAUAUUUUGAACCGCAUGGUUCAAUAGUGAAAGACGGUUUUGCUGUCACUUAUAGAUGGAUCCGCGCUGCAUUAGCUAGUUGGUAAGGUAACGGCUUACCAAGGCAACGAUGCAUAGCCGACCUGAGAGGGGGGACGGCCAAACUGGAAAUGGAGAAAGGGCCAAGACUCCAAGGGAAGGAAGAGGAAGGAAACCUUCGGAAAUGGGCGAAGGCCGAAGGGAGAAAGGCGGGGUGAGGAAGGAAGGUUUCGGGAUCGAAAAAUCUUGUAAUAAGGAAAAAAAAAAUGGGAAAGAAACGAGGAAAGUCUGGACGUAACCAAAUAAGAAAGCAACGCUUAACAACGU
rnacentral:rRNA from 1 species